rnacentral:pre_miRNA from 1 species
UAACCUCCGAAGUCUGGCUGGUCCCCAGGCUGGGCUGGGUUGGGCCAGUAUCUCUUUGAAAGGCUCACCCUCAAGCACAACUAGGAAU